ACGUGAACAACCUGCCCUCGUGUGGGGGAUAGCCGGGCUAACGCCCGGGUAAUACCGCAUACGUUCUCUUUGGGGAGUCCCGAGGAGAGGAAAGCUCCGGCGCACGGGGAGGGGUUCGCGGCCUAUCAGCUAGUUGGCGGGGUAAUGGCCCACCAAGGCGACGACGGGUAGCUGGUCUGAGAGGAUGGCCAGCCACAUUGGGACUGAGAGACGGCCCAGACUCCUACGGGAGGCAGCAGUGGGGAAUCUUGCGCAAUGGCCGAAAGGCUGACGCAGCGACGCCGCGUGUGGGAGGACGCC
rnacentral:rRNA from 1 species